rnacentral:rRNA from 1 species
GACGGACCGUACGAACGUUAUUCGGAAUCACUGGGCUUAAAGGGUGCGUAGGCGGCGCAGAAAGUUGGGUGUGAAAUCCCUCGGCUUAACCGAGGAAUUGCGCCCAAAACUACUGUGCUCGAGGGAGGUAGAGGUGAGCGGAACUUAGGGUGGAGCGGUGAAAUGCGUUGAUAUCCUAAGGAACACCGGUGGCGAAAGCGGCUCACUGGACCUCUUCUGACGCUGAGGCACGAAAGCUAGGGUAGCAAACGGG